rnacentral:tRNA from 1 species
GGACUAAAAUCCGUUGGCUUUAUAGACCAUGAGGGUUCAAGUCCCUCUACCCCCAUCGGAAGGAA